GCAUGCGCGCACGGGUGACACACACGCUCGUAUGUAAAGCAGCAGGGUCGCGUGAAGAUUAGCGUGCUUAUAUGUGCAGCAGCAAGGCUCGCAUGGAGGCUGAGAUGAUCGUAUGUAGAACAACAGACUCGUAUGGAUAUCGACGUGUUGGUAUGUAAAAGAGCUUGCGCGCAUGGCGACUUAUGUGCUCGUAAGUAAUGGAGUAUGCGCGCGAAGCGACUAACGGGCUCGUUUGUAGAGGAGCAUGUGCGCGUGGCGACUUACGUGCUCGUAUGUAGAGGAGCAUGCGCGCGUGGCGACUUACGUGCUCGUAUGUAAAAGAGCAUGCGCGCGUGGCGACUUACGUGCUCGUAUGUAAUAGAGUAUGCGCGCGUGGCGACUAACGGGCUCGUAUGUAAAGGAGCGUGCGCCCGAGGCGACUCACGUGCUCGUAUGUAAAGGAGCAUGCGCCAGCCGGCGACUUACGUGCUCGUAUGUAAAGGAGCAUGCGCCAGCCGGCGACUUACGUGCUCAUAAGUAAUGGAGCAUGCGUGCGUGGCGACUUACGUGCUCGUAUGUUGAGGAGCAUGCGUGUAUGACGACUUACGUGCUCGUAUGUAAAGGAGCAUGCGCCAGCCGGCGACUUACGUGCUCAUAUGUUGAAGGAGCAUGCGUGUAUGACGACUUACGUGCUCGUAUGUUGAGGAGCAAGCGUGUAUGACGACUUACGUGCUCGUAUGUAGAGCAGCAGUCUCGCAUGGAGGCUGAGAUACUCGUAUGUAGAGCAGCAGACUCGUAUGGAGACCGACGUUCUCGUAUGUAAAUGAGCAUGCGCGGAUGGCGACUUACGUGCUCG
rnacentral:lncRNA from 1 species